rnacentral:rRNA from 1 species
GUGUCUGCCAUUCUGAGCUCCACCUCAUCGAGGAUUUUGCUAAAUGGCACCCCUGGCAUGCCUUUCAAGCACAUGUGUGGCCUGCGACAGGGAGACCCCCUAUCCCCAAUGCUAUUCAUUCUUGUCAUGGAGCCACUUCAAAAGCUGUUAGAUCUUCCAACAGAGAGGGGGGUUUUAUCUCAGCUUGGGACCAAGACUGCCAGACUACGUACUAGCUUGUAUGCUAAUGACGUGGCUCUGUUUAUUAACCCUGUUAAGGAGGAGGUGUAG